CUUCUUGGCAAAAAUAUAGUUUUCACGUGGGUAUUUCUUAUUAGAUUGUGUUGAAUAUCUCUUUAAGUCCUACUUUCCAAUGAAAUUACAAUUAUCAAACUUGGGUAUGCUAUUUUGAGGCGUAUCCCCAAGAAACUUAGACUAUUUUCAAGAGAAGGUAGGUACGACUCAAUACAACUGACUAACUUUUGUCUGAAACAUGUAUAUGAAUUAAAGAUAUUGUUUUUUCAUUUGCAGAUGAUCUUCCACCUCCCCAACCAUUCCAAGAGUUAAGUGCUUCUUUCGGAGGAUUUGGCAUUGAAACAGCACAUAGAUAUUGGUUAUCUGAAAUCAACGAUGCCACAGAAAACUUUGCUAAAAAAGUUGGUUCUGGGGGCUAUGGGACAGUGUAUUAUGGAAAGUUGAAAAACGGAAAAGAAAUUGCCGUCAAAGUUCAAACCAAUGAUUCUUGUCAGGGAAACAGACAGUUCUCAAGUGAGGUUUCUCUACUUUCAAGAAUACAUCACAGAAAUCUGGUUGAAUUUCUCGGUUACUGCCAGCAAGAAGGCAAAAGCAUUCUUGUAUAUGAGUUUAUGCAUAAUGGAGCACUGAAAGAGCAUCUUCAUGGCUCCUUGUCUCAGGAAAGUCCCAUCAGUUGGAUAAACAAACUUAACUCUUUGUAUAAAUCCUUUCACACUUGAUACGCAUAUUGGUGUAAUAAGCAAACUUAACUCUUUGUAUAAACAUGUCAAAGGUCCAG